rnacentral:lncRNA from 1 species
UGAUCUUUCCUUAUAUAGUUAAUAUAAAUUACUAUUUAGUCGUGACCUGUUCGUUAUAAGCAGGGUUGACUCUGACAUCUGAGCUUAAUUAAGUUCAUGAAACACCAAUUUUACGCGCCAAAAUUUAUAUAAAAGUGUAAAGACAUCAACAAAUUUUAGUGUGAUAUUUUAUGGACAGAUAAUUUUUUUAUGCUUCACGCAUAAAUACUAAGGGUCGGACCUGCUUGUAAGUGAGAUGCUGUUUCAGUUUCUUUUUCAAAUGAGUUUGUUUGAGAUUGAAUUUCUAUUGUCAUUGACAGAUAUAGUACUCUAGACUAUAUGAUAAUAGUGAUAACCAUUAUUCACAACAUGGUUGAUAUUAAACGAGACAGAUAAUUCAAAUAUACAUCUAAGAAGUCAACUUAAGUCAAUAGGUUAGUAGUCCAAAUAACGUGGUUUUCUACCAAAGAAAUAGAGAUGUGGUUUUCAAUAACUGAUGACGUAUCAAUAAUGAUGUAAUAAGUACAAAUUACUCUAAAUAUUAGUCUUCAUUUUCCAUCUUGUAUAGUCUUCUUUAGGUGAUGUGUCUAAAAAUUAAGUGUCAAAAUAAUGAAUUUCUAUAUUUUAAAAUUUUAAUUGGUUCUUUGCCGGAAUAUGUAAUUAUGUAUGGAUAAAAUCUAAACCCAUAAGUUGACCCAAAAUAAAAAAUUUAAACCCAUAAAAUAAAUAUAUCAAAUUCUUACUGUUGGCAAGCCAAAAUAGUUGUUCUCUCAGAUUUCCUAGAGCCAAACAGCCACUUUCUAAGAAAAAAAUCUAGUGAUAUUAAGGAAAAUCUAACUACAAACAAGGACAUACAAGACUUCCAGAUUUUGUGAUCGACACGUGGAGACGACCGGUUACAGAUUACCACGAGAUUCAGACGCGGAAAAGCUAUCUUCUGUCAGUUAUCGAUUCCGACAGAGAUAGAGAUGACGUCUUCCACAGCAAAUUUGACACGUGCAUCUCAUCUCUUUUUUUUUAUUUUAAUCGAACAUUUUCUCUUUUUUUUUUUCUUAACAUAGUUGUUUUUCUAUUGUAUUCAAAAGUUCGCAAGACCCAUCAUCAAUUUCUCUCUAAUUUCGAUUUUCUUACUUGUUAUUUUUUUGUUGCGUAUAAUUCGUGAGUAAGCAGUUACGCCUAAGUUUACGAUCCUUAAAAACGUUUGGUUCAACAAGAGAUUAUAUAGAAAUCCAGAGGUUUUAAUUAAAUAUCUCUUCAAAAUUUUUAAAAAAUCUGACGACAAAGAACAAUUAAGACGUAUAAUACACGUGUCCAUGCAUUCAAUUACAAAAGCUAAUGACGGUACUAAACGUCAAAAAUGAAUGCCCUUGGACGUGGGUAAUUACACAAAAUCAUCUAUAUAUAUAUGAGCUUCAUAUCUCAAGCAGUCCAUAAUUAAACCAAGAGAUCUCAAUCAUUCCUUACAUACAAUUCUUGUUAUAUAUUUGAUCCCCCAAAAGAAAUGGCUACUUCACGUCUAGCAAGGUUUGUAUCGGAGGUUGCUCCGCCUCAGUUUGUGACGGUGAUGAGGAGACACAGAGCAGCGAAGCAGAAGCUUGACACAAUCAAAGAAGAAGAGUAUAAAGAAGAUUGUUUCAAUGGUGGGGUGAUGAUGAUGUCGUCUAAUAAGAUGUCAUCAUCUCAUCAUCAUGCCUAUUCUUCUUCUUCCUCUACUUCGGUUUCUAAUUCUGGAUCUACCUCUAAGAGUUUUUCUCGUUGAGGCUCGAAGCUCUUUUUCGGUCUUCGAAAAUUAAGAUGAUCUUAUAUGCAAGGGAGUUAUAUUUUGGAUACUGAUCGGGUCCGUAUUUUUGUGUGCACCCGUUUCUAUAUGUAGUUUGCUUAAGAUUCGGACCUUUUUAUUAUUAUCUAAAAGGUCCGACAUAUUUAAAUGUUGUGUGAUUGUAUCUCUUGAUGAUCAGUUGGAUAAUUGAGGGUUCUACAUGCUGUAACCCUGCUUUAAUAAGGAUGUUGUUUUGUAUACGUUUACACAUAAUAAUAUAAAAAUUUCUUGAUUGCUGUGGGAAACAAUAGAGACUGAUGCAAAUAUACUCGCUACACAUAUUUUAAUUGCUAUCAGCUCGGUCGAACUAUUGGAUUUACAUGAUUACAUUACAUCACACGUAUUUGGCAUUUUGCUAUAUGUAAGCAAGAGUUGAAUGCGUGGAACAUAACUGUAUAUCAUGCAGUACAAUCGCAUUCUCUGAUCCACUCUCUAAACACCGGAGGGAGGUCCGGUUUGGUAUGUAAAAUUGAAACUGGAUAAUUGAUUAUCGGGCCCAAAUGGGCCUAUAAUUUAUAAUCGGCCCAAAUAAUAACACACUCACUAAACCCAACCCUGAGACGACGAUUCAACGCCAUUUUGUUGUCUUCUUCUUCUUCAUUCUCCAUCUGCGCACGGAUCUCCCUCAAACACUCCCUUAUCCUGUCGAUUAAAUCCUCUCAGGUAAGCUCCUUCGAAAUUUCUCUUAGAUCAAUCGUGAUUUCACAUCCCGCCUGGUGGAAUCGUAAAGUUCCGUAAUUUUCUAAAGAUAUCAAAUUGCAUAGAAUGACAAAACCCAAUUGUUCCCCGUUCUAUUACUCAUCUGGGUUUACUCGAAAGUGCUUAAAUUUUAACAAUUUGAUUAAAAGUAUCGAACUUUACUUUAUGAUUUUGAGUACUACUUUUAUCAAAAACCUAAAUGUUCUUCUGGAUUGAUGCGUUGUUUGGUGAUGCCUGGAGUUGUUGUUAAUGUGGAUUUUGCAGAAUCAUGUUGACGGAAACACCAUUUAGGGCAAGAGAGAAGCUUCUGGAGAAGCAGAGGUUGUUCCAGAGCAUCCAGAGGCAUACUUACCUCAAAGGACCUAUGGACAAGGUCACCUCCGUUGCCAUCCCUCUUGCCUUGGCUGCUUCUUCUCUCUACAUGAUUGUAAGCUUUUUCAUCUCUUGUUUGGUUUUGUAAGAACUAAGUUUUUCAUGCUUGCUAUGUUUUUCUUCAAUUCUAUUGUUUUUAAUCCUGUUAGUUCCCAUACCCUAGUUAAUAUGUUCAUCAUCUAAUUAUGGGUGGCUGGAAACAGGGAACAGGAAUCUACAACAUGUCGAAUGGAAUCGGGAAGAAGGAAUAAGUAAACAGCUUCUUCUUCUUUUUUCCUUGUUAUUUACGCUUUUGGAGGGGUUUUUUUUUCUAUGUUUAUCCAGUGGCUAGCAUGAUGCGGUUGCAGACGUAAGGUUGCACUAGUGGUCUUUUUUCUUGCAUUUUUGCCAAAUAAUUGCAGACAAUGUCGAAAGAUGAAAGAUGUUUGAUUGGUAUAAAGUUCCAAUGUUUGGAAAGUUCUUCAUUUGCUUAUGACAAAGUUGAAUUCUUUUCUUCCGCCCUCUACUUAACUUUCUAUAGUAUCUCUGCGUUACUCUUCACAGUAUUUGAGCUGUAGUGACCUGAUGAUGUGCGUUGUGUCCUACUUAUAAAAAAAAAAAAAAAAAAAAAAAAAAAAAAAAAAAAAAAANNNNNNNNNNNNNNNNNNNNNNNNNNNNNNNNNNNNAAAAAAAAAAAAAAAAAAAAAAGCAAAGUAAAAACAACAAAAAUCCAAAAAUAUGAUUCAAAUACAGACCAAUAAGGCCAUAAAGACUUUCUUUAAUUUUCAUAGAAAACCAUUUAAAUUGAUUUUAAAAAAUAGAAAAUUAGCAAAUAACUGAACUUACAAAUUUAAGCCCCUUUUUUUUGUCUCCGACCUCUCACUAGAAACACUCAACCAUAGAAACGUUCCGGUGACCGGCGGCUCUAUAGUCGCCGGUUACUGACUUUUUGUUUUUGUUUUGUAAGUAACUUCGAUCAUAAGGAUCGACUGUGUUUUUUCGCUUUGGCGAUUUUCUGUUUCGUUAGGCGAUUUUGGUAUGUUAUGGUUAGCCAAAUCAGAGCCGUUUACCAAUCUCAUCUUCGCUCUGAUUUGUGUUGAACCUAAAUAAAGUUUCAGAUAUAGUUCUUCUUCUUCUGGGUAGAUAGAGAUGUCGGUUGAUUGAGAGAUUUGAUUUCUUUCUUGGGUAGAAAAGCUUAGAUUUUGAUUCGGAGAUGGUAUAAAGCUCCACUUUCAGUCAUAAGGAGUUUCCACGAAGGUCAAGAUCUGAGGUUUGGAAUAAGCUUCGAGAUCCGGUCCGGAAUUUAGAUGAAUUGGAGCUGCCAUAUAGACAGUGUUCCAAUAAAAUUCUGUGCUCGUUUCUAUUGAAGUGUUCUUUGGACUCAUACUCUACCAAUUGGGAUUGAAGAUCUCUCUUUCGCUGAAGAUUGAAGGAACGAAGAACAUGCAAACAGCCUCAACUGAACGGAGAUGGAGAUGGAUGGAUUACCGGCGAGUUAUCCGGCACCGCCUUUCUUCUUCCUCGGCAAAGGAGAUAACGCCACGAGUCUUCACACGUGUCUUUUAGCAUGUAAUAGUUAUCUGUGGUGUUUGGGCUUUGGACAAAAAUUGAGUCUGUUUGUAAUCUUUGCCUAUUGGGCUUCUGGUUAAUGAAACCACAAGUUGACAAAAAAAAAAAAAAAAAGCCCCUUUUUUUUAAUUAUAUUUUUGUUUAAGUUUGU